CCGAGUUUCUAUUUCCUCAUCGUAUCCCAGUGUCUGGCGCAUUAGGUGCUGACUAUUUUGCUGAAAAAGUGAAGCAAUCAACCCAGAAACGACUCGUGUGUAUGCGGCCCAUAGUCCGAGGUUCCCUCGAAAUAUUUUUCUCUGAGUAUUUUCUGACUUCUGGGCAUAAACUUGAGAGAAGAUAUGACGUAAACCAGCGCUACUCAGAGUAGGGUCUGUGGACCAGCAGCAGCCCCUGGAAGCUUGUGAGAAAUGGUAUUUCCGGGGCCCCUUCAGAGAUCUACUGAUUCAGAAACUGUGGGCCUGGGAACCAGCUACCUGGCUUUGACAAUCUCCAGUGACUCCCAGUGUCUGCUGCUGUCCCCCAGGAACACGGACAAACUCAAAUGACAGGGUAUGAUCACAGCUUUCUUAGAUGGGGAGACCCUGAGCAAUUCUCCUGGCUUGGCAUGUUUCCCGAACAGAGACCACCUGGCAAGCUCAGCAGCUUAUUUGCCAGAAGCCUGGAGAUUUCACACCAAAGUCUCAGGACGUGCCCAGGUCCUUACUGACUACGCUGCUGAAGGAGAAAUCCCAAGUGAGACCAGCAGAAGAACCAGCCAGCUGAGCCCUGGUCAACACUCAGAACCA